AUAUAAGCAAAUUUAACUUUUUAGGUUCAUUCAAUUAAUGAUGUACGUGGUCCAUAUUAUGAACCACAUACAUCAUUAAUUGAACGAAUCUAAAAAGUAAAAUUUGCUUAUAU
rfam:Medicago truncatula strain A17 chromosome 4, whole genome shotgun sequence.